UCUGGGAAGAUAUGCAGUGAUGCCUUCAAAGCUUUAAAGAGCUGGAAAGUGCAAUGGUGACCUCAGCCAGAAUUCCUGUCUGCGAAUCAACACAACCAACCCCAGGCAGCCUGAGCACCAGAGGAAAUUUCCAGAGAGGAUAUAAAACAGCUUCAUCUGGAUGGACGCAUGUGCCAAUGUCAGGAAUCACACAAACAGUACAAUACAGGGAAGUGUGGCCUAUGUUUGGCACCAUAAGGUCCAAAAGUUCAUGGAUUAUUCUUUCCUUUGGAAAUAAACAGCUGGAAAUCAAAUGAGGUGAAAGGAAAAUUACUCAGUGAGAACAAAGUGAAGAGAACCAGAGCCAUAGAUAUCUCCUACCUCAUGCUCCCUGCUCUCUCCAAAUUUCUGCUGGGAACCCAAGGACAAGAAUGCCCACUGAUGUCAUCUGGCAGAGGGGAAGGUGGAGAAAAGUGGAGAGUGAACGAGAUGUCCAGCACAGAACCCAUGCCUGCCUAAUUUACCAGUAUGCCCAGUGCCAACGGCAGAGCCUCUGUCAUACAAAUAAAUGAAUAAUAAAUAAAGUGAAUUUG